rnacentral:tRNA from 1 species
UUGGGUUGUAGCUCAGUGGUAGAGCACUUGCCUUGCAUGUGUGAGGCACUGGGUUUGAUCCCUGGCACCAAA